rnacentral:tRNA from 1 species
UCCCAGAUGGCUCAGUGGUAAAGAAUCUCCCUGCGAAUGCAGAAGAUGCAGGUUUGAACCCUGGUUUGGGAA